GCCAGUGUGGUGUAGUGGUUUGAGUGUUGGACUACAACUCUUGAGAUCAGGGUUCAAUUCCUCACUUGGCA
rnacentral:tRNA from 1 species